GUCUAUGACCAUACCACCCUGAACAUGCCUGAUCUUACCUGAUCUUGGAAGCUAAGCAGACUCAGGCCUGGUUUGUACUUAAAGGGAGACUAGUGAGUUUGACC
rnacentral:rRNA from 1 species